rnacentral:rRNA from 1 species
UUGCACAAUGGGCGCAAGCCUGAUGCAGCGACGCCGCGUGGGUGAAGAAGGUUUUCGGAUCGUAAAGCCCUUUUCUGCGUGACGAGAAAGGACGGUAGCGCAGGAAUAAGUGUCGGCUAACUACGUGCCAGCAGCCGCGGUAAAACGUAGGACACAAGCGUUAUCCGGAGUUACUGGGCGUAAAGGGCGUGCAGGCGGUUUCUUAAGUCAGGCGUGAAACCACUCGGCUAAACCGAGUGUAGUCGUCUGAGACUGGGAGACUAGAGUGUGGUAGAGGCGUGUAGAAUUCCGGGUGUAGUGGUGAAAUGCGUAGAUAUCCGGAGGAAUACCAGUGGCGAAGGCGGCACGCUGGGCCAUAACUGACGCUAAGACGCGAAAGCAUGGGUAGCGAACGGGAUUAGAAACCCCGGUAGUCCAUGCCGUAAACGAUGUACACUGGGUGUCCAGACGGGGAAGCUCGUCGGGGUGCCUAAGCUAACGCGCUAAGUGUACCGCCUGGGGAGUACGGUCGCAAGGCUA